CCUUUUUAUGAAUAAACGAGUGUUUUCACUCUCAAAACACUCUCAACUUCACUUCUAGGACCUCUCACAAGUUCAAUGAUCAAUAUAAACGUCUCAAAUCAGAUUUAUCACUCUUUUAUCACUUUCAUGCUCACAAAUCAUCUUUACGCACCAUAAGAGGUUUUUUAAGCACCAUAAGCUCUUUUAACACAUGAAACUACAAAAUUAGUCUACAAAAGAUCUUAAUCAUUCAAAAAACACAACACUAGUAUUCUAUAACGUCACCAUAAGGUGCAAAUCAAACCCUGAAUCCAAGAUGCACUUAACAAUAAAUAAGAGCAAACAAAAAUCUAGAUCUAGAUCUGAAUCUAAAAGUUAGGAGUAUCAAAAUCCUAACAUCAGCAACAACAAUAUGAUCUACUCCACACAACAAUAAAGACUUCAUAAUACUUCAAAGAAACUCACAAAGAAAUAUGAGUGGACUCAUAACCUUUUAAAGAAAGAGAAGUUAGAAGGCACAACACUUAGCAUCAACAAGGUUGCAUACAAAAAGAAGUAUGGAAUAAGAUAUUUUCCACUUUGAACA
rnacentral:lncRNA from 1 species